rnacentral:lncRNA from 1 species
CACACAUACAAACACCAAAGCCGGUGAAAACAGAACCUGCUGUAGAUAACAAGGAUGGACCUCAGAUGCAAGAAAACUUCCCCUGCAGUACGAAAUUUUGUGAAGGGCAAACCAAGCUGACCUCACUCAUCGUCGUUAGCACAAAGCAGCCAUUCGGCGUUGGGGGGGGUGAGGCAAGGGGCCCGGGGCUGAGGUGUGCACUCUCUGCCCAGACGCUCUGGAAGCCACUUGAGCCUGACCCCUUGAGCCUGAGGUCAAAUUGGGUGGACUGGGUACAGGUUUGGGCACUCGGACCCUUACCCUAGCCAGGCUGGGCGCGGCUGCAGACAGAGUCUGGCCUUGGACCUUAGGAUAAACAUUCAGGGUUCCGAGGUGUACAAGCCAGGAAAAGGAGGGCCUCCAAACCAUCAGAUCCAAUCCCCCAAGUUGGGGGCCAUCUUGUUGUCAUUGUCAAAGGCCUUGAGGGGACUGGCAUGCUCUUUAUCUUGCUCAAUUUCUCAUGCUCGGCCCAUACCCUUCUGACAGCCACUGCAGAGGAUUUCGAUACAGUUCAAAUCAACACAAACUCCCAAGCAUUUGUAAGUGCUAGGUGCCACGUGAGUCGCUAACAUUUUAAGCACAAAACAACAGCCUCACAGCGAGGGUUUUUCCUAAAGUGAUACCCGAGAGGAAGACAGAACCAGAAUUGUCACAUCUCCUUACAGGCCAGGGAAACCGAGGCCCAAGAGGGGAAGCAGCGACUUGGCCCAAAAUUGCACAGACCUGGGACCCCCAAGCACACAUGCCACUUUGUUAUUUUUGCCUUUUUUUUAAGAAAAAUAUCACCACCCACUUCUUCGCACUCAUACACACAUAGGCUUAUUUCAUAGGUAAGAACCGUUCCCAGGCAAAACAGAGCCCCAUUGAAACGUGGGUCUCGGAACAGCCUUCAGCCGGCCAGCUUCGCACCCCCCUCCCCCGCAGCCGGCCGGUCAUCCAAGGUGUCCACCCUUCCCUGCCAGGUGCAUCCUGAUCACCCCCUCAAAACUGGGCUGGGACGAGUCCAUCUCCGGUGUAAAAUCGCAGACUCGAGCUCCCUGCUGGGCCUGCCAGAGUCCUCGUAACAAAGCCGCCUCGCCUGAGCUGAAGGGUCACGACGCUCUCUGUCCACUGCCCUUUCUGCUGGGGCGUCAGCGCCCCGCAACCAGGGGCUCCCCGCCAAGCAGCCAGGGGGGCUCUGAGCCCCACCUGAGCCCCACUCUGCUUCUGGGCCUCUGUGAACCUGGCAGGCCCCUGCCCGUGGUCUCAGCGUAAAAGACCGAGCGGGUGACGAGGACGACCUGGGGAAAUCUCAAAGUCUCAUGUCAGCAAGGAAAGGGCUGAUGAAUGGCUCCCUGCGGAGAGCCUCACCGUGGCGGUUCUCUCCCGGAGCGUGGCCAGGGUCCCGGGCCCGGACAUCAGCAUUCUGCAGUGGCACAUCUAUGCCGACCAGAUGGAGUUAUUGUUCCUCAGAAAAGAGAAAGGACAGGUGGGCGCUGUGACAGUGGGAGGAAGGACAGUGAGGAAGGGAUAAAGAAAGAGGAAUUGGGGUGUUUGGGGAAGAGGUCUAUGGAAGGCCACAAGAGCAGGGCACGUCUCCAGAGGGCUCCCGUUCCGGCAGAUUAGCACCACCCCUAACAUUUACUGAUGCACCUGCUCCUUCCAACUCGUGGCACACGCAGGACCCCCACCCCAGGCUCGUCCUCAGGAGAGCAAGACACUGCCCGGUGACUCCAGAACACCGAGUCUUCCCAGAGCCAAAUUCCGCACUAGAAUAUUCCACCCCACAAAUGACCAGCUCAGAAACAAACAACAUUUUUAAAAGUCUCCCUGGCAAAGCCAGGUGAACAAAACAAUGAAGUAAAUGAAGACUGGGCCAGAGGGCCUUGCCUGGCUUGGCCAAGAAUUGGAAGCUACUCAGUCCGUCUUCAAGGGCAAAGGCUUCCAAGACCCCUUUCUCUUGCUUCCUUUUCGCACCUAAUUACAAGAGAAAGUGCUUUUAAAAAAACAGGCAAAACCCUUGGGAAAAAAAAGUUACAAGGAGCUAAGUCUCAAAAGCUUCUUGGGAUAAAAAUUAUAACCUUGUCCAGCAUUUGAGGAAAAAACAAAGAACCCAGAGGACAAGGAAUAGUCAAGGCCGGAACUGAGUGUCAACUGCCUUCACCCACGGGCAUCCCCGGGCUUGCCCAGAACUACCCCAGCCUCUGGACAGGCUGUGACGUGGAGGGAAAAGAAGGGUUGAGGGAGAGUCCACACAGAAAGGGUGUCUGGGGGGGUCCUGUCCUCCCUCCCCGGGGAUUCUGCUUUCCCCGGCCCCUCUUCUUUCCCACCUGCCGGACUCCCAGCGGAAAUAAACAGCAAAGAAAGCAAAACAGACACCGUCGGCCUCUCUUCUCUGGGCCACCACCGGGCUGGCGGAGGUCCUCAAGGGCCCUGCAGAGGCGCCUCCCGCUGCUCCCGACGUGGGCCCCGGGGCAGCAGUGUUGCUGCUGCCCCCUCACCCCGCGCUGGGUGACAGGCAGCCCCCGUGGCCGCCGUGGCUGCUUGAGAGGCCUGGUGAUGUGGAACUUUUGCCUGACGGAUUUGUGGGAACAGCCGAGGCACAUGCCUGAUUGCGACACAGAGUUCGGGAAUUGUGCCCUUGCACGAAAAAGCUGGCCUGUUUCUACCAAGUCCCUUGGCACUAACCCCCAACUGCUUAGUGGGUCUAAGUCAGGACUAUAAAGCUGAACACCUUGAAAACAUUAUCUCAACAGUUCUGAUGUCACUCUACUCGUCUAAGAAAUAGCACAUCCCAUUCGGCCCAAGUGGCUUUCUUUGCCGAGAAUUCAAACCUCAGGCCUGCCUUUCACCACUGCCCACAUGUUGCAACAUUCCCGCCGUCUGCCACCUCCCUACCCUCUCCUGCCCGGCUCUCUCCAUCUCCACGGCUUGGGCCCUGCCAGAGGCUGUGUCUUAUGCCACUCGCCCCUUCUCCCCGACGUCCUGAGUCAGC